rnacentral:rRNA from 2 species
AACGCGAAGAACCUUACCAGGUCUUGACAUCCCGAUGCUAUUCCUAGAGAUAGGAAGUUUCUUCGGAACAUCGGUGACAGGUGGUGCAUGGUUGUCGUCAGCUCGUGUCGUGAGAUGUUGGGUUAAGUCCCGCAACGAGCGCAACCCCUAUUGUUAGUUGCCAUCAUUAAGUUGGGCACUCUAGCGAGACUGCCGGUAAUAAACCGGAGGAAGGUGGGGAUGACGUCAAAUCAUCAUGCCCCUUAUGACCUGGGCUACACACGUGCUACAAUGGUUGGUACAACGAGUCGCGAGUCGGUGACGGCAAGCAAAUCUCUUAAAGCCAAUCUCAGUUCGGAUUGUAGGCUGCAACUCGCCU